AGUCGUAACAAGGUAGCCGUACUGGAAAGUGUGGCUGGAUCACCUCCUUUCUAAGAGAAAGGUAUUACUUAAAGGUAAAUUAUGAAAUGUAAAUUAUGUUUUAACUCUUCCUUUGUCUUUUCUAAGACUGUUUUUGGGGGUUUAGCUCAGUUGGCUAGAGCAUCGGCUUUGCAAGCCGGGGGUCGAGGGUUCGAGUCCCUCAACCUCCAUUUAUUCAGCCUAAAAUAAAUGGAGGUUAUAAUUAGCAGUAAUGCUAUGUUGGUUGUAGCUAAAUUUAAAAUUGUUAAGGAUCUGUUCUAAUUUUAUUGUCUAGGUAAUGUGUUUUUUAUUAUGUCUUUAAUUAAGUACGGUUGUUUACGUAUGGCAAUUCAUGAUAAGUGAUCUUAAUUUAGAUUUUGUUUUUUCAUUUUUUGUUUGCAUUCGUUAUAAUUAAUUUUUGAUUUUUAAGAUGUGGGUUUAGGAAUUGCAAAUCACUAAGCGUAAGGCAUUUCUUUAAAUAUUUGGAUGUUUCUUGAAAUGACUCUUAGUAAAUUGGGACCAGGAGGACUUGAACCUCCGACCUCA
rnacentral:misc_RNA from 1 species